rnacentral:rRNA from 1 species
GGGGGGGGGCAAGCGUUGUUCGGAAUUACUGGGCGUAAAGGGCUCGUAGGCGGCCAACUAAGUCAGACGUGAAAUCCCUAGGCUCAACCUAGGAACUGCGUCUGAUACUGGAUGGCUUGAAUCCGGGAGAGGGAUGCAGAAUUCCAGGUGUAGCGGUGAAAUGCGUAGAUAUCUGGAGGAAUACCGGUGGCGAAGGCGGCAUCCUGGACCGGCAUUGACGCUGAGGAGCGAAAGCUAGGGGAGCAAACGGGAUUAGAUACCCCGGUAGUCCUAGCCCUAAACGAUGAAUGCUUGGUGUAACGGGUAUCGAUCCCUGUUGUGCCGAAGCUAACGCAUUAAGCAUUCCGCCUGGGGAGUACGGUCGCAAGGCUG